GACGAACCGUGCGAACGUUAUUCGGAAUCACUGGGCUUAAAGGGCGCGUAGGCGGGCCGGCGAGUCCGGGGUGAAAGCCCCCAGCUUAACUGGGGAAGUGCCUUGGAUACUGCCGGCCUGGAGGGAGGUAGGGGCGUGCGGAACUUCCGGUGGAGCGGUGAAAUGCGUAGAUAUCAGGAGGAACACCCGUAGCGAAGGCGGCACUCUGGGCCGAUUCUGACACUGAGGAGCGAAAGCGUGGGGAGCGAACAGG
rnacentral:rRNA from 1 species